CAUCUCUUUAUACAAUUAACAGGAACUGUUUUAUUGACCUAUGCAAUUAAGAGAAUUUUAUUCACAAAGAAGUUAAAAGAAAUGGUUUUAUUCUGAAAUUUUAUGCAAAUAAAAAUAUUAUGUUUUUAACACGAUGAGUCCACAGUACCUCAACUACAAUUUACAAAUAUAACCUUAAUAAUUCAACUCUUCCUGUUAUCAAACCUCUGAAUGAAUCAAAUUACUGUUAAUAGGGAUAUUAAAUAUACCAAAAUGGUCAAGGUGCACUUGAUCUAUGGGAUGGUCACUUGUACAGGGACUAUUUGUCAGUAAACUUACAGUAAAUAGAUGAAAUAAUAUACUGCCUAAAAUCUGCCUGUCGAUCCUUUUAAUCCCAGUUUCUCAUUUGUGUGCAAAUAUAGUAUGAAUGAGUCGUUGACAUUAAUGGGAAAGUGAAUAAAAAACAUUUUAACCUACAUAUCUGUUUUGGAGCUGCAUGAGGAUAUAAAUUUGUUUCAGUCAUUAUCACAACAUUAAUCAAUAUCGAGGAGAGUAUAUUCUUAAACAAGAUCACAAACAAAGCAAAAUCACUAUUUGUAAAACUAUUUUUUCUAUAAAAUAACAAUACUUUAGUAUCAAAGUUACCAGAGUAGUCAGUGUAAAAUAAAUCUUCUCUUGAUCUCAAAGUAAACUGGAGGCUCCAUGGAUCAUGUAUUGGCCCAUUUCACUUUUUUACUGUUUUCCCCUAGAUAUUAUUUUCAGAAGAUGAAACAAAUGUUUGUCAGAUACUGUUACAGAAAAGGGGUGGGGUGAAGCUGAAUACUGUCCUAAACAGGAAUGAAACUCAAUUGAAAAUCAGCCAAUUGCUCAGAACUUUUCUUAAUUUUUUCUGUUUAUAACCAUGCUAACACAAACGGGCUAUUUCUUUGCUCUGACAAUACAAUCGUCAAGUCCUAAUAAAUACCCAUGACGAUGUUUGCCUAAUAUAAAAUUUACAGAAAAAGGAACCAAUUUUAGGUGAAACGUAUGUUUAAAAAUUCAAGCAUCAACAUUUUUUUAAAAUAAUCUUCUCUUAGAUUUAUGUCUUUUGUUAAAAUGAAUCUAUGAUAUCAAUGAAAGUGGACAAAAAAAGCCUAGUAAGGCCAAUAACUCUCACUGAUGACAAUACAGUCUGUCAUGCUUAAGUGAAAUUAAAAUGACAUUUUUACUUACAAUCACAUUCACAACAGCAUGAUAACACAAAAUAUAAUACUUUCCAAAAAUAAUUACACCUUUAUAAAAUCAAG
rnacentral:lncRNA from 1 species